AGUGAACGCUGGCGGCAGGCCUAAUACAUGCAAGUCGAACGGCAGCACAGCAGAGCUUGCUCUGUGGGUGGCGAGUGGCGGACGGGUGAGGAAUACAUGGGAAUCUGCCCAGUCGUGGGGGAUAACGUAUGGAAACGUACGCUAAUACCGCAUGCGCCCUCUGGGGGAAAGCCGGGGACCUUCGGGCCUGGCGCGAUUGGAUGAGCUCAUGUUCGAUUAGCUAGUUGGCGGGGUAAAGGCCCACCAAGGCGACGAUCGAUAGCUGGUCUGAGAGGAUGAUCAGCCACACUGGGACUGAGACACGGCCCAGACUCCUACGGGAGGCAGCAGUAGGGAAUAUUGGACAAUGGGCGCAAGCCUGAUCCAGCCAUGCCGCGUGAGUGAAGAAGGCCCUCGGGUUGUAAAGCUCUUUUGUCCGGAAAGAAAAGCAUUCGGUUAAUACCCGGGUGUUCUGACGGUACCGGAAGAAUAAGCACCGGCUAACUUCGUC
rnacentral:rRNA from 1 species